UAAUACGUAGGUGGCAAGCGUUGUCCGGAUUUAUUGGGUUUAAAGGGUGCGUAGGCGGUCUUAUAAGUCAGUGCUGAAAUAUCCCGGCUUAACCGGGAGGGUGGCAUUGAUACUGUAGGACUUGAGUAAAGUUGAGGUAGGCGGAAUUGACGGUGUAGCGGUGAAAUGCUUAGAUAUCGUCAAGAACACCGAUAGUGAAGACAGCUUACUAAACUUUAACUGACGCUGAGGCACGAAAGUGUGGGGAUCAAACAGGAUUAGAUACCCUGGUAGUCCACACUGUAAACGUUGAUGACUCGCUGUGUGCGAUAUACAGUACGCGGCUUAGCGAAAGCGAUAAGUCAUCCACCUGGGGAGUACGCCGGCAACGGUG
rnacentral:rRNA from 1 species